rnacentral:rRNA from 1 species
AUUGAACGCUGGCGGCAUGCCUUACACAUGCAAGUCAAACGGCAGCGCGGGUGCUUGCACCUGGCGGCGAGUGGCGAACGGGUGAGUAAUAUAUCGGAACGUGCCCUAGAGUGGGGGAUAACGUAGCGAAAGUUACGCUAAUACCGCAUACGAUCUACGGAUGAAAGUGGGGGACCGCAAGGCCUCACGCUCCUGGAGCGGCCGAUAUCUGAUUAGCUAGUUGGUGGGGUAAAGGCCCACCAAGGCGACGAUCAGUAGCUGGUCUGAGAGGACGACCAGCCACACUGGGACUGAGACACGGCCCAGACUCCUACGGGAGGCAGCAGUGGGGAAUUUUGGACAAUGGGCGCAAGCCUGAUCCAGCCAUGCCGCGUGCGGGAAGAAGGCCUUCGGGUUGUAAACCGCUUUUGUCAGGGAAGAAACGCUCUGGGCUAAUACCCCGGAGUAAUGACGGUACCUGAAGAAUAAGCACCGGCUAACUACGUGCCAGCCGCCGCGGUAA